UACGUAGGGUGCAAGCGUUGUCCGGAAUUAUUGGGCGUAAAGAGCUCGUAGGCGGUCUGUCGCGUCUGCUGUGAAAACUCGGGGCUUAACCCCGGGCCUGCAGUGGGUACGGGCAGACUAGAGUGCGGUAGGGGAGACUGGAAUUCCUGGUGUAGCGGUGAAAUGCGCAGAUAUCAGGAGGAACACCGAUGGCGAAGGCAGGUCUCUGGGCAAUAACUGACGCUGAGGAGCGAAAGCGUGGGGAGCGAACAGG
rnacentral:rRNA from 1 species